ACUCAAGAAUGUAGACUCCACGGGUCUGCUCCGCCCCCGAGCCUCGCGCAGGGCUGCGCUUGCGCAUAUCCGCGGACACGAGCCACGCAGCCUUUUGCGCCUGCGUAUCCCAAGCCACUUCACGCCCGCCGCGCAGCCCUUCUCUGAGCUGGCGGGCCUGAGCACCCAGGCCCCGAAGUCAGAGCCCGGGCUCGAGCAGAAAGAAGAGCUCAGAGGAAUGAGGCAAGACCAACAUCGGUGAACGAUUCAUCCAAGGCUCCCCGGCGACCCGUCCCAGCUCAGAGGGGCUUGGCAGGCCUUGCCUUGCCAGGAGACUGGAGAGCAUUAAAGGCGUUGAGAUCCGAGGAAAUUUAAUGUGGCUGCAAAAGGGAUGGUUGUCGUCGGGCACUCCCUGCAGAUGGGCGCAUAAUAAAUACACUUCUGGAGACA